rnacentral:lncRNA from 1 species
CUCCCAAAAAACAAAAAUUUUUAAUUUACAUUAAUGUGUGGUUACAGUGAAUAAAGGCUCUGCGUAUUUACAAUGAUUAAUAAUGGUAAUGCGCUUAUGUACUAUUAUCACCAGUUUUUUUCUUGUUCACCUUGCUACUAUAUAACAUUAAAAAUAUUUUUACAGUUGCCUAAAGUGCUCCGUUGGCUGAGCACGUAUACCUCUUUCUUUCAUUGGCUCCACCUGAUCUCUUCCACUAUAAUGUAACAAGGUAGGUUUAUCUUCCUUUUCCAAAAUUAAAUUUAUAUUCACCAUUGAGAAUUGUACGAAAUUAUGUCAACACGCCUGACAAAAAUGCAUGCCAAAGCGCUAUCGUGCUUCAACUUCUUUAAUUUUCAUCCUGUUUC